GAUGAACGCUGGCGGCGUGCCUAAUACAUGCAAGUCGAGCGAACAGACGAGGAGCUUGCUCCUCUGACGUUAGCGGCGGACGGGUGAGUAACACGUGGAUAACCUACCUAUAAGACUGGGAUAACUUCGGGAAACCGGAGCUAAUACCGGAUAAUAUAUUGAACCGCAUGGUUCAAUAGUGAAAGACGGUUUUGCUGUCACUUAUAGAUGGAUCCGCGCCGCAUUAGCUAGUUGGUAAGGUAACGGCUUACCAAGGCGACGAUGCGUAGCCGACCUGAGAGGGUGAUCGGCCACAUUGGAACUGAGACACGGUCCAGGCGCCUACGGGAGGCAGCAGUAGGGAAUCUUCCGCAAUGGGCGAAAGCCUGACGGAGCAACGCCGCGUGAGUGAUGAAGGUCUUCGGAUCGUAAAACUCUGUUAUUAGGGAAGAACAAAUGUGUAAGUAACUAUGCACGUCUUGACGGUACCUAAUCAGAAAGCCACGGCUAACUACGUG
rnacentral:rRNA from 1 species